rnacentral:rRNA from 1 species
UCUCAGUUCAGAUUGCAGGCUGCAACCCGCCUGCAUGAAGUCGGAAUUGCUAGUAAUCGCGGAUCAGCAUGCCGCGGUGAAUACGUUCCCGGGCCUUGUACACACCGCCCGUCACACCAUGGGAGCCGGUAAUACCCGAAGUCAGUAGUCCAACCUCGUGAGGACGCUGCCGAAGGUAGGAUUGGCGACUGGGGUGAAGUCGUAACAAGGUAGC